AUUGAACGCUGGCGGCAGGCCUAACACAUGCAAGUCGAGCGAGUGGCGGACGGGUGAGUAAUGCUUGGGAAUCUAGCUUAUGGAGGGGGAUAACUACGGGAAACUGUAGCUAAUACCGCGUACCAUAGGAUGAGCCCAAGUGGGUGUAGGUAGUUGGUGAGGUAAAGGCUCACCAAGCCGACGAUCUCUAGCUGGUCUGAGAGGAUGACCAGCAACCCUGGAACUGAGACACGGCCCAGACUCCUACGGGAGUCAGCAGUGGGGAAUAGUGCGCAAUGGGGGCAACCCUGACGCAGCCAUGCCGCGUGUAUGAAGAAGGCCUUCGGGUUGUAAAGUACUUUCAGUCGGGAGGCGUUACCGACAGAAGAAGCACCGGCUAACUCCGUGCCAGCCGCCGCGGUAAUAC
rnacentral:rRNA from 1 species